rnacentral:rRNA from 1 species
GGGAGAUCAGCCUGGCCCGCGUCCUUUGGGAUAGUGUGUUCGCCGGUUCGAGUCUUCCAUCCUUCUAGAGUGCCUUUCCUACUCUUUACUGAGCCGGGUCUGGCAAGCUAGAACGUUUACUUUGAAAAAAUUAGAGUGUUCCAAGCAGGCUGUCGCCUUGAAUACAUUAGCAUGGAAUAAUAAUAUAGGACUUCGGACCUUCUUUGUUGGUUUUUUGCACCGAAGUA